rnacentral:rRNA from 1 species
AGCUCCAAUAGUGUAUAUUAAAGUUGUUGCGGUUAAAAAGCUCGUAGUUGGAUUUCGGAAUGCAUAGGAUGUGGUCCUUCGAAUUGAAGUGUACUGCUCUUGUGCUUCCUUGUUUUGCAAGACGUUGUCUACCCUUGUGGUUGACAUGUUUGCGAAGUUUUACUUUGAAAAAAUUAGAGUGUUUAAAGCAGGCGUAACUCGCUUUUGAAUACAUUAGCAUGGGAUAAUAAAAUAUGACUUUGGUCUCAUUUUAUUGGUUUCUGAGGCUUAAGUAAUGAUUAAUAGGGAUAGUCGGGGCCACUAGUAUUGAUUUGUCAGAGGUGAAAUUCUAGGAUUUAAUCAAGACUAACUACUGCGAAAGCAUUUGGCAAGGAUGUUUUCAUUAAUCAAGAACGAAAGU